AUGGAGUUGAGACUGAGCUGGGUUUUCCUUGUUGUUCUUUUAAAAGGUGUCCAGUGUGAGGUGCUGCUUGUGGAGUCAGGGGGAUACUUGAUGCAGCCAGGGAGUUUCCUAAAACUCUCCUGUGAAGCCUCUGGAUUCACUUUCAGUGCUGCCUGGAUGAACUGGGUUCGCCAGGCUCCAGAGAAGGGGCUGGAGUGGGUUGGCACAAUUAAACACAGACCAGAUAAUUAUGCAGCAUCCUAUGCAGAUUCUGUGAAAGGCAGAUUCACUGUCUCAAGCGACGAUUCCAAAAGCAGCCUCUACCUGCAAAUGAACAGCUUAAGAGUCGAAGACACAGCCAUUUAUUACUGUACUAGACAUGCACAGUGA